GUCAGCCCAAUUUAUAUUAAACAGUAUCCCCGUCACAGGAAAAGAAAGACGGGGUCAGACCUAUGAUCCAGUCCUUCCUUCAGCAGGGUAUACUAAGGCCUGUAGUCUCCUCCUAUAACUCCCCUAUUAACCCGGUCCCUAAGGCUACCAAGUACUACAGAUUUGUUCAAGACCUUAGGGCCAUUAACAAUCUAAUUAUCCCAAUAGCCCCCAUUGCCCCUGAUGUUAACACUCUGAU